rnacentral:sRNA from 1 species
AAAUUGUUUUUUAAAAUAAAAAUUGUUAUGAAUAAAGAUGGAUGCCCAUUAUAAGGCCCAUCAUCUAAGCCCAUCAUCUAGAUGUUUCUAGGGUUUUACCCUUUCCUUGUACUCCUAUAUAAAGAACCCUUUAUCUCAAUGGAAUAACACACUCAUUUAUUUAUUUAUUUAUUUAUCUCAAAAUUGUAUCUUCUUCCCCAACAGUUGAUUUAUUUAUUUUGACAUAAUAAUGAUACAACUUUUUUGUGUGUGUU